rnacentral:rRNA from 1 species
AUUGAACGCUGGCGGCAGGCCUAACACAUGCAAGUCGAUCGAGCGGCGGACGGGGGUGAGAUGUCUGGGAAACUGCCUGAUGGAGGGGGAUAACUACUGGAAACGGUAUCUAAUAUCGCAUACCACCAGAUGUGUGCAGGUGGGGUUUGCUAGUAGGUGGGGUAACGGCUCACCUAGGCGACGAUCCCUAGCUGGUCUGAGAGGAUGACCAGCCACACUGGAACUGAGACACGGUCCAGACUCCUACGGGAGGCAGCAGUGGGGAAUAUUGCACAAUGGGCGCAAGCCUGAUGCAGCCAUGCCGCGUGUGUGAAGAAGGCCUUCGGGUUGUAAAGCACUUUCAGCGGGGAGGCGUUACCCGCAGAAGAAGCACCGGCUAACUCCGUGCCAGCAGCCGCGGUAAUAC